UACGUAGGGUGCAAGCGUUGUCCGGAAUUAUUGGGCGUAAAGAGCGUGUAGGCGGCCAGGUAGGUCUGCUGUGAAAACUCGAGGCUUAACCUCGAGCUGUCGGCGGAAACCAUUUGGCUAGAGUCCGGAAGAGGAGAAUGGAAUUCCCGGUGUAGCGGUGAAAUGCGCAGAUAUCGGGAAGAACACCCGUGGCGAAGGCGGUUCUCUGGGACGGUACUGACGCUGAGACGCGAAAGCGUGGGGAGCGAACAGG
rnacentral:rRNA from 1 species